rnacentral:rRNA from 1 species
GACGAACGCUGGCGGCGUGCCUAAUACAUGCAAGUAGAACGCACAGUUUAUACCGUAGCUUGCUACACCAUAAACUGUGAGUUGCGAACGGGUGAGUAACGCGUAGGUAACCUGCCUGGUAGCGGGGGAUAACUAUUGGAAACGAUAGCUAAUACCGCAUAAUAUUGAUUAUUGCAUGAUAAUUGAUUGAAAGAUGCUAUUGCAUCACUACCAGAUGGACCUGCGUUGUAUUAGCUAGUAGGUGAGGUAACGGCUCACCUAGGCGACGAUACAUAGCCGACCUGAGAGGGUGAUCGGCCACACUGGGACUGAGACACGGCCCAGACUCCUACGGGAGGCAGCAGUAGGGAAUCUUCGGCAAUGGACGAAAGUCUGACCGAGCAACGCCGCGUGAGUGAAGAAGGUUUUCGGAUCGUAAGGCCCUGUUGUAAGAGAAGAACGGGUGUGAGAGUGGAAAGUUCACACUGUGACGGUAUCUUACCAGAAAGGGACGGCUAACUACGUG